rnacentral:lncRNA from 1 species
CAACCCGACGUAUUGCAUGCAAACCCAACCUUCAUGCCUGCUGCAUACACAACCAAGCAACUAAGCAACUACUGGCCUAUGAGUCCACAACAUUGUAGCCUCCCUUGCCAUUUCCUGCUCUCCUCAGCAAACCCUUGCCCCCCUUGACCUCUCUUGCUCUCUUCUGCCAUCCCUUGCUCUCCUCUGUCCUCCUCUGCCAUCCCUUGUGUUCCUCUGUUCUCCUCUGCCAUACCUUGCCCUCCCUUGGCCUCUCAUGCCCUCCUCUGCCGCCCCUUGCUCUCCACUUUCCUCCUCUGCCGUCUCUUGCUCUCCACUUUCCUCCUCUGCCCUCCCUUGCCCUCCCUUGCCCUCCCUUGUCCUCCCUUGCCCUCCCUUGCCCUCCCUUGCCCUCCCUUGCCCUCCCUUGCCCUCCCUUGCCCUCCCUUGCCCUCCCUUGCCCUCCCUUGCCCUCCCUUGCCCUCCCUUGCCCUCUCUUGCCCUUUCUUGCCCUCCCUUGCCCUCCCUUGCCCUCC